UAAUAUUCUUUACGAAAGUGAAACUCAACAAAUAAAUAAAUGGCUGAUAAAGCAAACUCAUUCAUUAGUUUGUAUAUAAAUCAGUAAUACUCAGAAUAUAUGCCGAUUAAUUAUAUUUUCUAUUAAACUACACAUACAUGUGUAUAUUAUAACAUCAAUUUAAUAACGACUAAAUUGAAAUCCAAUACAAAAUGUGUUUAAAUGGAAACCAUAAACUAAUUAAACCUGUUAAGUCGUUUUAUUUCCUAUCAAUAUGGAUUUCACAUAAAUUUUAUAUAACUACGCAUACAUACAUACAUAUGUCUGUACCCUUUAGUACCAAAUUGUCGCCGUUAACAAUGUCGCCCAAUUGUCCUAGCCACAGACGUCGGCAGAGAAAAAUUCUGCCAGCGUUUUUCAUGCUGAGGUUAGCCGACGGCAGUGAAAAAGUAUUAGUGAUUUCUAAUUGAUUUUUGAUAUAAAUAAAGCAACUGGUUUAGAAAUAAUUGACUUCAAGAACAGCAUUACGUCGGAAAUUCAUAAAAGCUAACCUCUCAAGUAGCUGGAGACAACUCUCUCUUGUGAAGAGGCACAACCUGGACAAGAAAUACAAAAAGUUGAGCCUUGGAACCUAUCUUAAGGCUUUGAAUAUUCUUCUCGAAGCAGUUUAAAACACUUUCCCGGGGCAGCCUCCGGAAGUUGGGCUUAAGAAUGCAAUGGCCUGAGCUUAAAAUAUGGACAACAAAACAAAAAAUUGAAAAUUGAAGCAGCAGCUGUUAA